CUUGUGAGAAGAGUGUGUGAACCGUGCAUGCUACACAAGGUGCCUGGAGAGAUUUAUGUUUUGUCAUCCACCUGCUUCAAUGCUGUGAAACCCGGCAGGCAGUAACAAACGAAGAAACCAACCCAGACUGGAAAACCCAAACAAAGAGAGACCUUACUGGUGCUGUUUGUACAUCUGUGUGGAGGACUAUCUGGGCUUGUAUGUUUUGACGCCACGCUCAAAUGACUGAAUGGUUCCUUUCCCAGCGAAACGGAAGGUGGAGAGGAGAUGGAUUCUAGACUGGGACUGAAGGAGUCGAGGUGAAUCCUGGACGCAUGGAUCUGCUGGGAGGAGAGAGGGAGGGUUUCUUGUCGCCUCCGCCAUCUUUUUAGGGGAAGUAGCUGAUGAGGAAGGGAUUGAUCGCGAGAAGGAUGGAUUGGAAACAAGGAAAGGGAUGGAGUGUCGGCUGAACUGGGCCACAGAACUGUAGCUGGGAAGGACUGGGAGAAGAGACGGGAGAAGGCAGCCUCGCUGACUGGAGGAAUGCCAGCUGGUCUCAGACAGAUGAUGAUACUGGAGGACAAUCCCUGGAGAGAGAGAGUACAGGUAUAAUAA